GUGCCAGCAGCCGCGGUAAUACGGAGGGUGCAAGCGUUAAUCGGAAUUACUGGGCGUAAAGCGCGCGUAGGUGGCUUGAUAAGCCGGUUGUGAAAGCCCCGGGCUCAACCUGGGAACGGCAUCCGGAACUGUCAGGCUAGAGUGCAGGAGAGGAAGGUAGAAUUCCCGGUGUAGCGGUGAAAUGCGUAGAGAUCGGGAGGAAUACCAGUGGCGAAGGCGGGCCUUCUGGACUGACACUGACACUGAGGUGCGAAAGCGUGGUAGCAAACAGGAUUAGAUACCCUGGUAGUCCACGCCGUAAACGAUGUCGACCAGCCGUUUGGGUGCCUAGAGCACUUUGUGGCGAAGUUAACGCGAUAAGUCGACCGCCUGGGGAGUACGGCCGCAAGGUUAAAACUCAAAUGAAUUGACGG
rnacentral:rRNA from 1 species